rnacentral:snRNA from 1 species
GUGCUCGCUUUGGCAGCACAUAUACUAAAAUUGGAACAAUACAGAGAAGAUUAGCAUUGCCCCUGCACAAGGAUGACACGCAAAUUCGUGAAGCGUUCCAUAUUUUA